GAUGAAGAACGCAGCGAAAUGCGAUAAGUAAUGUGAAUUGCAGAAUUCAGUGAAUCAUUGAAUCUUUGAACGCACAUUGCGCCCCCCAGUAUUCUGGCGGGCAUGCCUGUUCGAGCGUCAUUUCAACCAUCAAGCCCUGCUUGUGUUGGGGUCCUGCGGCUGCCCGCAGGCCCUGAAAACCAGUGGCGGGCUCGCUAGUCACACCGAGCGCAGUAGCACAUCUCGCUCAGGGCGUGCGGCGGGCUCCAGCCGUUAAAGCACCCACCUUUCGCAAGGUUGACCUCGGAUCAGGUAGGAAUACCCGCUGAACUUAAGCAUAUCAAUAAGCGGAGGA
rnacentral:misc_RNA from 1 species